UAAAUAUUAAAGAAAUUUAGAUUUAAUUAUUAAUUUAAGUAUAAACUAAAUAUGUGCCAGCAGUUGCGGUUAAACAUAAUAUACAAAUAAAAUAGUUUGGUUAUUAGUAUUUAAAUAUAAUUUAUAAUUUAAUUUUUUUUAAAAAAGUAAAAUUUAAUUAAAUAUUAUUGUUAUAAUUAUUUUAUUCUAUUAAAUUUUAUUUAAAACUAGGAUUAGAUACCCUAUUAUAAAAAUUUAAAUUGAUUUACUUAAAAAUUAAUAGUUAAGUUCUUUAAAUUUAAAAAAUUUGGCGGUAUUUUAGUCUUAUUAGAGGAACCUGUUUAUUAAUUGAUAAUCCACGAUUAAUUUUACUUAUUUUAAUUAAUUCAUAUAUCGCUGUCAUGAAUAUAUUUAAAAAUUUAUUUUCUUUUUUUAUUUUUAUAAUUUAUGUUAAGUCAAGAUGUGGUUUAUAAAUAAGAAUAUAAUGGGUUACAAUAAAUUUUAUUUUUGGAUUUAAAAUGAAAAUUAGAAUGAAAUUGGAUUUAAUAGUAAGUUUAUUUAUUUAAUUAAUAUGAAUAGAGAUCUAAAAUAUGUACAUAUUGCCCGUCAUUCUUAUUAAAAAUAAGACAAGUCGUAACAAAGUAAGUGUACUGGAAAGUGUAUUUAGAAAG
rnacentral:rRNA from 1 species